rnacentral:rRNA from 1 species
UGUGGUUAGCGGUGAAAUGCCAAUCGAACUCGGAGAUAGCUGGUUCUCCUCGAAAUAGCUUUAGGGCUAGCGUCAUGUUAGUAAUGUAUGGGGGUAGAGCUCUGUAAAGGAUUGGGGCGGGCAACUGUACCCACCCUUAACAAACUACGAAUACCAUAUAUGUAAUCAUGGCAGUUAGAACAUCGGUGCUAAGAUCGGUGCUCAAAAGGGAAACAGCCCAGACCAUCAUCUAAGGUCCCUAAAUAUACAUUAAGUGGGAAACAAGGUGAAAUUUCUUAAACAGCGAGGAUGUUGGCUUAGAAGCAGCCAUUCAUUUAAAGAGUGCGUAACAGCUCACUCGUCAAGAGAUUUUGCGUGGAAAAUGUAACGGGGCUAAAUGUAUUACCGAAGAUAUGGAUUAUUACGUUAGUAAUAGUGGUAGAGGAGCGUUCCUAUCAGCAGUGAAGCAGUAUUGAAAAGUAUUGUGGAGCGGUAGGAAGUGAGAAUGCUGGAAUGAGUAACCAUAAGAUAGGUGAGAAUCCUGUCGGCCGUAAGAGCAAGGUUUCCUGAGCUAUGGUAAUCAUCUCAGGGUUAGUCGGGCCUAAGCCGAGGCGCAGAGCGUAGGCGAUGGACAUCAGGUUAAUAUUCCUGAACCGGUUAAGUUUUGUACACUGUUCACGGGGAAGUAAUCGAAGCGGAUUCAUGGUUUAUCCGUCCAACCGAGCGGGAACGCAAAGGGAGUGAAAGUGAUUCUUCGGAGUCGCGAUUUUGGUGAAAGCCCUGGCUAGAAAAGCAGGUGUACGCGUGGACUUAGCCGCCCGUACCGCAAACCAACACAGGUGCUCGAGUCGAGUAGACUCAGGCUUACGAGCGAACCUUCGCUAAGGAACUCGGCAAUACAGCGACCGUAACUUCGGGAUAAGGUCUGCCCCCACUUCGGUGGAUAUCAGCCGCGUUCACUCAGUGAAUUAUAGGUUAAAGAGUACAUUUUUAAUCACAAAACGAAUUUUCUGAGACACGAGCAAGCUAAUUGCUUUUUGAACGCGAAUCUCUGACAUCUAAUGAUGUGGGGGUCGCAGCAAAAGAGCCCACGGAACUGUUUAUCAAAAACACAGGUCUCUGCUAACACGAAAGUGGAUGUAUAGGGGCUGACUCCUGCCCGGUGCUGGAAGGUUAAGGGGAGUGCUUUACGGUGCGAACUGAAGCCCCAGUGAACGGCGGCGGUAACUAUAACCGUCCUAAGGUAGCGAAAUUCCUUGUCAGGUAAGUUCUGACCCGCACGAAUGGAGUAAUCAUGUGGGCACUGUCUCAGCGAAGGACUCGGUGAAAGUGCAUUGGCGGUAAAGAUGCCGUCUGUCCAUACCAGGACGAGAAGACCCCAUGGAGCUUUACUACAGCUUUACAUUGAAUACGGUUUCAACAUGUGUAGCAUAGGUGGGAGACGUUGAAGCAGAUACGCCAGUAUUUGUGGAGUCACCAAGUGAAAUACCACCCUUGUUGUGAUUGUGUUCUCACGCUGACCGUUAUCCGGUUAGCGGACCGUGUAUGGUGGGUAGUUUAACUGGGGCGGUUGCCUCCUAAAGAGUAGCGG